rnacentral:rRNA from 1 species
AUUGAACGCUGGCGGCAGGCCUAACACAUGCAAGUCGAACGGUAGCACAGAGAGCUUGCUCUCGGGUGACGAGUGGCGGACGGGUGAGUAAUGUCUGGGAAACUGCCCGAUGGAGGGGGAUAACUAUUGGAAGCGGUAGCUAAUACCGCAUAACGUCGCAAGACCAAAGUGGGGGACCUUCGGGCCUCACACCAUCGGAUGUGCCCAGAUGGGAUUAGCUAGUAGGUGGGGUAAUGGCUCACCUAGGCGACGAUCCCUAGCUGGUCUGAGAGGAUGACCAGCCACACUGGAACUGAGACACGGUCCAGACUCCUACGGGAGGCAGCAGUGGGGAAUAUUGCACAAUGGGCGCAAGCCUGAUGCAGCCAUGCCGCGUGUAUGAAGAAGGCCUUCGGGUUGUAAAGUACUUUCAGCGGGGAGGAAGGCGGUGAAGUUAAUAACUUCACCGAUUGACGUUACCCGCAGAAGAGGCACCGGCUAACUCCGUGCCAGCCGCCGCAGUAA